GAAUGUUUUCUAAGUCAAGUGACAUAACUCUGUAUACCAAAUUUUAUUUCAGUAUGUGCAACUGUUGCGCAGAAAAUGAAAGGAAACUAAGUGGAUAGACAGCAGCAAAGUAAUAUACCAUCCCUUCUUCGAAGAGGGGCAUAAUAAUCAUCGAAUUGAUGAAAUCAAUUUACCCUCAAAUUUUAAGACGCGUUUUACAAUGAAUACGGUUGCCAAUCCUCCCAAGUCAGAUGCAGGUCAUUUAGUAGGUCAAAUGACAACCAUGUGUGACACAUCUGCAGUGGUCGUUGAAAGUGUUGACGAGAGUGUUCAUAUAGCUACACUAUCUGAUCCAGCAGAAACGGUCGUUUUACCUGCAGUAGCGUUGCCAAUCCUCCCACGUCAGUAGGUCAAAUGACAACCAUGUGUGACACAUCUGCAGUGGUCGUUGAAAGUGUUGACGAGAGUGUUCAUAUAGCUACACUAUCUGAUCCAGCAGAAACGGUCGUUUUACCUGCAGUAGCGUUGCCAAUCCUCCCACGUCAGUAGGUCAAAUGACAACCAUGUCCCAUACAUC